rnacentral:rRNA from 1 species
CAAUAGCGUAUAUUAAAGUUGUUGCGGUUAAAAAGCUCGUAGUUGGAUUUCUGCUGAGAACGACCGGUCCGCCCUCUGGGUGUGUAUCUGGCUCUUUCUUGGCAUCUUCUUGGUGAACGUUGCUGCACUUGACUGUGUGGAGCGCUACCCAGGACUUUUACUUUGAGGAAAUUAGAGUGUUUCAAGCAGGCAUACGCCUUGAAUACAUUAGCAUGGAAUAAUAAGAUAGGACCGUUGUCUAUUUUGUUGGUUUACAGAUGUCGGUAAUGAUUAAUAGGGAUAGUUGGGGGUAUUCGUAUUCAGUUGUCAGAGGUGAAAUUCUUGGAUUUUCGGAAGACGCACGACUGCGAAAGCAUUUACCAAGGAUGUUUUCAUUAA